GGUGGGGCAAAUCCCAUCCUGAGACUCCUGCUGGAGACUGGAAGCUCAUUGUCAGGUAGGUGCUGUCACCAGAGAGCUCCUGAGGAAACUGGAGUCCCUCUGCUCUCUGCCUCAUGCUGACCAGUGAGUUUCAUCCCAGACCCGUCCUCCCUUCCCUGUGGCCUGGAUCAAGGAACCCUGCACACACGGCCUCUCAGAAGCAAGGAAGACUUCAGGCAGGCCCAAGCAAUGGCAUAUGGCAGCAAGACCUCAGAGGCCACAGUUGAGGGCACAAGGCACGGAUUGUGGUAUUUGAUUUAAUUUUGAAAGGGGAAGCGACGAGCAGCAAAAAAAGUCUAUAUUUUGCCUUUUCAAAUGAAAUGUAAAAAUUCUCGCGCCCAUCAAUCCAGUCAGGCACACUCUGACUCCAUGUGGGCCAGAUGGUCUUUUUCUACACCUAUAAUUUCCCGGGAAAUUGUGACAGCUGAAUUUGCAUGAUGUAGCUCCAAAUGGAAUUUGCAAAAUGUG